ACAGAGGCCUCGAGCGUUAGGCGGAAUCACUGGGCUUAAAGCGUGUGUAGGCGGAUCGGUAAGUACCUUGUGAAAUCCCACGGCUUAACUGUGGAACUGCUUGGUAUACUGCCAGUCUUGAGCCACUCAGGGGCUACCGGAACAAAUGGUGGAGCGGUGAAAUGCGUAGAUAUCAUUUGGAACGCCAAUGGUGAAAACAGGUAGCUGGGGGUGUGCUGACGCUGAGACACGAAAGCCAGGGGAGCAAACGGGA
rnacentral:rRNA from 1 species